CUACACCACUGGUGUCACUUCUCGCCUCAUCCACUCCCAGGAGGAGCUGAUCCAGUGCCUGAAGCAGGGGGCCCUGUCCCGCACCACAGCCAGCACCCAGAUGAACGUGCAAAGCUCACGCUCCCACGCCAUCUUCACCAUCCACCUAUGCCAGAUGCGCAUGUGCACCCAGCCUGACCUGGUGAAUGAGGCAGUGACCGGGCUUCCUGAUGGUACACCUCCCUCGAGUGAGUAUGAGACACUCACCGCUAAGUUUCACUUUGUGGACCUGGCCGGCUCAGAGCGGCUGAAGCGGACAGGGGCUACUGGCGAGCGGGCCAAGGAGGGCAUCUCCAUCAACUGUGGCCUGGUAGGCACAUGGUGGGUCAUCAGCCCCAGUACCCGCACAGCUCAGUCUCAGACCCCUCCAAGGCCCUGCAGUCCUACACCUGCUGUGUCCUCCUUGGACAUCUUGCCAAUUAGCCCUUUACUCUCAGGCCUCACCCCUGUCCCCAACUUCCCCAUUUCACCAACUUAUCCAUCUGCCUAUAAACCCACCCAGGGAGCAAGAGGGCUGCUGGGGCCAAAGAGGCAGCUGGCCUUGGGCAAUGUGAUCAGCGCCUUAGGGGACCAGAGCAAGAAGGUGGUGCACGUUCCCUACAGGGACUCCAAGCUCACUCGGCUCCUCCAGGAUUCGCUGGGGGGCAACAGCCAGACCAUCAUGAUCGCCUGUGUGAGCCCCUCAGACCGAGAUUUCAUGGAGACCCUCAACACACUCAAAUAUGCCAAUCGGGCCCGCAACAUCAAGAACAAGGUGGUAGUGAACCAGGACAAGACCAGCCAGCAAAUCAGUGCACUGCGGGCUGAGAUUGCUCGGCUGCAGAUGGAGCUGAUGGAAUAUAAGGCGGUGAGCAUGCUCCUGGGCAUUGCCCAGCACUCCCCUUGGAGCUAGUGCUCCAUAUGCACCCUCUGCCCUGCAGCCUCACCCUAACUUCCUCAGCAUCCCUUCCACCUCCCUAUUACCCAUCAUCCACUUUGGACAUGACUCUUGAGCAUCAGUUGUGUGCCAGGCAUGAUGCUCACUAUUAGGGACUCACUCACGUGAAUCAAGCAUAGUCUGAGCCCUCAAGAUUUUAGAAUACUAAGUCCAAGAAACAAGGGCUGCCCGGCUUUUGUUGCAUAGAUCUUAUGCACAGGGCAGACACUCUCCAGGGUGUUUUCAUGUCUGCUGAAUGUGUUGUGUUGGAACAGAUAAGACUGCUAGACUGGCACAGAAUCGUUGAUAGAGGGGCCCACAGGAGUAUCCAGUGUGCCGCAGAGGGGCAGAGGAGAGAGUUGGCCUUACUUGCAUGGAUGGUCAGAGAGGGCCUCAUGGGAAAAGGGGCCUUUUAUAUGGAUUUUGAAGAAUGAAUGAGGUAACAGCAAAAUGAGAUGGGACAGCCAUUCUAGGUAAAGAACAAGCCAUGCACAAAGGAACAGAGUGGGAAAAAAUGGGUCCUUUGGGGGAAAUGUCUAAUUCUAUGUGACUAAGACAGAAGUCACCAUUGGUAGCCCAUGGCCCGAAUCUGGCACAUAGAUGAGUUUAGGUUUGGCUUGCACUUGUUUUAAAAGAAUGCAACUUAGUUGUCAACCUUUCUGAAAGUCAGGGAGUUUCAGUUUUGCUAGAAAAUUUUAAAGAUCUAACAACUCAUGGUACCAAGUUGGCUGGAGAGGCAUAGGGGCUGCCCCUUUUAGACUGAGUCUGGGACUCGCUUAGUUCCAGUCUCUACCACUCCCUAUUGUCUUACAACCAGCCUGACUCAUUUAUGCCAACUGCCUGGCAGAGAGAGUUUUGACCCUUGGACUAGAGUUUAUGGAGAUAUAAAAAUACACUGUGGAAAGUUAGGUCAAGUAAGAUUGUGAGAGGCCUUGAGUGGCUGGUUACAAAAUUUGGACUUUUUAUUGUCUAGGAGAACUGUGUAAGGUUUUUGAUCACUGGGGCCAGUAGCUGUGUUUUAGGAAACCUGGGGCGGGGAGACUGGUGAUGCUGCCAUAUCCAGGGGAAGGCCAGGGUGCUGGCAGAAGGAGGGGCAUCAUCAGCCCCUUCCCCCCACCGCGAGCUGUGCUGCCUGACUGCUCCCCUUUGCCCCUGCUCCCAGGGCAAGCGAGUGAUAGGAGAGGAUGGCGCCGAGGGCUAUAGUGAUCUGUUCCGGGAGAAUGCCAUGCUACAGAAGGAGAAUGGGGCCCUGCGGCUGCGGGUGAAAGCCAUGCAGGAGGCCAUCGACGCCAUCAACAACCGCGUCACCCAGCUCAUGAGCCAGGAGGCCAACCUGCUGCUAGCCAAGGCCGGUGAGUUGGGCUGUGCCAGGCCAGGUCAGAGCACCAACGGGCUAGGACCCCCUCCCCCCACAUCCACCCCAGAGUAUCAGGUGGACUAAGUCAGCCAGUCAAUUCACAGUUCAACUCAUUUAUGCAUUUUUUUCACUUGAUUUUAAAACAUUUUUGUAUGGCACAAGUAAUACAUGAACACAUCCUUCUUGUUCAACAUGCAAACAAUACAUCACUAUAUGAAGUGAAAGAUUAAAAUCGCCUCUCCCUGAACCCUCCACCCCAAGCCCUCUCUACUUCUCAGAAGGAACCUCUAUGAAUAGCUUGGUGUGUAUUUUCCCACACCUUUCUCAGUAUUUGUUUCAAGUAUGAAUAUGUAUUCAUGUACAUUCUUAAAUGUGUGUAUGAUAUAGACUACUUUUUCUGUGUAUGAGAUUAUAUAUAUUGCUCUAAGACUUCCCUUUUUCAUUUAGCAUUAUGUUUUAUAAAUCUUUCCGUAUUAAACCUACUUGUGGUUCACGCCUGUGAUCCCAGCACUUUGGGAGGCCACGGCAGGAGAAUCACUUGAGCCCAGGCGUUUGAGACCAGCCUGGGCAACACAGGGACACCUAGUCUCUACAAAAAAUACAAAAAUUAGCCAGAUGUGGUGGCACCUGCCUGUAGUUCAUGUUACUUGGGAGGCUGAGAUGGAAGGAUUGCCUGAGCCCGGGAGGUUGAGGCUGCAGUCAGCUGUGACUCUAGCCUGGGCGACAGAGCAAGACCUUGGCUCUAACC
rnacentral:sRNA from 1 species